rnacentral:rRNA from 1 species
AUAUCAAUAAGCGGAGGAAAAGAAACUAACAAGGAUUCCCCUAGUAACGGCGAGUGAAGCGGGAACAGCUCAAAUUUGAAACCUGGCGUCCUUAGGGCGUCCGGAUUGUAUUCUAGAGAAGCGUCUUCCACGCUGGUCCACGUAUAAGUGCCCUGGAACGGGCUGUCAUAGAGGGUGAGAAUCCCGUCCUUGACGUGGGCUACCAGUGUUUUUGUGAUGCGCUUUCUAAGAGUCGAGUUGUUUGGGAAUGCAGCUCAAAGUGGGUGGUAAAUUCCAUCUAAAGCUAAAUAUUGGCCUGAGACCGAUAGCGAACAAGUACCGUGAUGGAAAGAUGAAAAGCACUUUGAAAAGAGAGUCAAACAGUACGUGAAAUUGCUGAAAGGGAAACGCUUGAAGUCAGUCGUGGUGAUUUGUUCAGUCGUCUCUCUAGGCGGCGCGUUCAAUUUACCAGGCCAGCAUCGGUUUGGGCAGUCGGAUAACAGCGGAGGAACGUUGCUCCUAGGAGCGUUAUAGCCUCCGUCUACACGGCUCGUCCAGACCGAGGUCUUCUGCGUUUUUUUCACAGAUGCUGGCGUAAGGGCACCGAGCGG